CGGAGGUUUUCAUAGCCAAUCACAGCCCUGAGAACCUCUGAGCUGCGCGAGCGCGAAUGAGGAAGGAAGGACGGCUCACGGGGAGGGGGAGACUAGAUCCACCAUUUGUUGUUAGUGAGCGGAGGAAGACCGUCUAUUAGUUGCAUCUGCCCUUGACAUCAGCUAAGCAGCCGUCAGCUGUCAUGCUGAGUCGUCGUCGCAGCACACAGCAUGAGAAAUGGACCCUUUUAUGAUCACAGGAAUGAAUCUGGUAUUCAGAUUCGCUACAAGUCACCAGCAGAAACAAGCCGGCUACUUGAGGAAGACUUUACUCUUAUAAUGUAAAUGAUUUAAAACAAUAAAGAAUUAAAAAUGACUA